GUCUGGUUGUAAAAAUAAUCAGUCUAGUCUGCCCACUGAGAAAAUUAAAGGGCCGCAGUAUUUUGACUGUGCGAAGGUAGCAUAAUCAUUAGUUUUUUAAUUGGAAACUGGAAUGAAAGGCUGGACAAGAGGUUUACUGUCUUAACUUUGAAAAUAAAACUUAACUUUUAAGUGAAAAGGCUUAAAUAUUUCUUAGAGACGAUAAGACCCUAUAAAACUUUACAUAAGAGUUAAUAAAUUUUAAUUUAUUUGUAAAAAAAGAUUUUUUAAUUAUAUGUUUCAUUGGGGCGAUGAAAGUAUAAUAUUUAACUGCUUUUAUUUAAUAACAAAAAUUUUUGACAUUACUAAGAUCCUAAUUAAAGAACUAAGAAAAAGUUACUUUAGGGAUAACAGCGUAAUUUUUUUUGAGAGCUCUUAUCGACAAAAAAGUUUGCGACCUCGAUGUUGAAUUAAAAUACCUUUAUAAUGUAGCAGUUAUAUGAGUAGGUCUGUUCGACCUUUAAAAUUUUACAUGAUUUGAGUUCAAACCGGUGUAAG
rnacentral:rRNA from 1 species